UACGUAGGGUGCGAGCGUUAAUCGGAAUUACUGGGCGUAAAGCGUGCGCAGGCGGUUUUGUAAGCCAGAUGUGAAAUCCCCGGGCUUAACCUGGGAAUGGCAUUUGGGACUGCAAGGCUGGAGUGCGGCAGAGGAGACUGGAAUUCCUGGUGUAGCAGUGAAAUUCGUAGAUAUCGAGAGGAACACCGGUGGCGAAGGCGGCCUUCUGGACAGUGACUGACGCUGAGACGCGAAAGCGUGGGGAGCGAACAGG
rnacentral:rRNA from 1 species